CCAGAUGGAAGUGAUGUUUGGCAUGUGAAUUUUGGGGACCCACAACUGUUAGGAGGACAGAAGCUUCAGUGGUCAUAGCCACAGGAAGGAAGCGGGGCUGCAAGGGGACCUCUCCCAGCUCACCCCACGAGUUAGAGAGGGAGCUGAGCCUAGAAAGUCCAGGGCUUCUAACCACCAUCCUACUUCUCCUGGUGCCUGCUUAGUGGGAAGGCAGGUUGGAAUGUAGGGUGGAUGAAUAAGCAGCCCCUCCUUCAGGGUGUGUAUUUCUUUGCUGCUACGUUCGUAUUUGGAAGAAGCAUGUUCUCUAAGAUGCCACCCUGAGUACUUAACAAGCAUUUUUACCUUCGGUUGCUGUUGAGUGUCACUCAGAGCCCUGACCUUGAACGUAGCUACUGUCCUCAGAGUCAGGACCUGUGUGUUCUACCCCACCUCCCCCUGCCCCCGUUCCUCUAAACUCCAGCAGCUUCUGGUACAAUGUCAGGGAAUAGCACAGGUCGAAGGCGCUUCUUGAAUGGCCUUUUAAACAAUCCCAUGUGACCAUAAGGAUAUCAUGUAUAUCAUUAUCAUUUCGUUCUAUCCAAAAUGACUUAAAAUGGACAUUCUCAUGUUAAGCGAACAGUUUGUUAUGGGCUGAAUAGUCCUAGACUUAAAAUUCAGGGGGCCCACCUAUUAGUGAUUAGUAAUGCUCAUAAUAAUGGGACUAUCAAUCUGAUGAAGCAGAAUAAAAAAAGAGUGCAAGUAAGAAUAUCACACUAUGCACCUCCUGGGGAGCACCUGCUGUGUGCUUUACUCCUUUUAAUACCUCAUACUCUUUGUUACCUCCGUGCAAGAUAAUGUAUGAUUCUUCCCAUUAUAACAUAAUGUCGUGUUACCACUUUUACAGGGGAAAAAGACAAAACAUCGUGAAAGUAUUUUCCACUCGGUUCCCCACUUGCCCUCUAGAUGGCACCUUGAUACCUCCUUUCCCCACACUUUAAACCAUAGCGUCUGGACAGAAUGCACUUAAUUUAUAAUAUAUGUAAACAAAUUCUAUGUGUAUAUAAUAUCUGGAAACAUUAAAUCAAAUCAGCCAUUUCAAUUCAAAUUCACUUGACUUUGCAAAUAUAAUCGUUGUAAAUAUUUAGUCCCCAGGCAGUAGCUUCUCCUUUAAACCACAUGCUCCGGAGUUCCCCAGCUCUAGGGACUUCACUUUCCCUUAGUGACUGACUAUGGGAGGCCCCAGCAGUGGGUGACCCUGGGUCCUGGUUACCAAGGUGUGCUCCCUAAGACCUGCAGGACCACAGAGGCAGAGCUUACCUGUCUUCCACCAGCCAACCCCGUUGUCACUUGCCAUCUGGCUGAGUUGCAUGGCUCAGCCAUCUCGCUAUGGUUUCCUUUAAGCUGUGGAAGCCCUUCCCACCUUUUUCCCCAUCUAGGCACUCCUGCUUCUCCUCCACGCCUAUGUUUCUCCCUGUAUGAACAGACGCCCUCCUCUCUUGAGUGUCGCAAAGAUCACGUUGCAAUAUUUAAAACAAGCAGAGAGCAAAAACUUUUGAAUUCUGAAAGCUUGAUGAUAGAAAAAAUAGACCUCCCCUCAAAACACACACACACACAUCCUACAUCUGGAAGUGGAUAAACAUACAAUUAGUCCAAGAUCCCAUGAGUCAAGUUCCUCCAGGGGAGGGGGGGUCGCUCCUAUGGGCUGUGUGUUUGCUUGGCCCCACAGCUCACAGACACUAGUGGGCUUGGGGCUGAAGCUUAGGCUAUUUAGUGACUUUGGCAAAGAAAUCCUCUUGGGGUAGAAUAUCCAUCAGAAUAGAGGUUUGUCCACUACAUGUGAACAGAGAGAAAUCCUCAGGUAUGAAUAUUCCAUGACUCGUGGAUGGUGUUUAAUAAGUUGGCCAGCCGGCUAGGGACUUGGAAAAAAUAUAAAAACUAGUGGGAAGGAAGUUCAGGGAAGUGGGAAGUGGGCAUAAGUCGGAAAGGGCACACUGUGAAAUCAUCAGCGUUUCCAUGUAUGCCCACCAGAGGGUGCAGUCAUUCUGUAAACAGAAGGCUAAUUCUCGACUAUAAUAGACGAUAACAGAAUCUAUAGUGGAGAAGUUUCUUGACGUUUUAAAAUAUCAUUCCCUUCUCAGUCCUACCUUAGCCUGUCUUCAAUUUGUAGGCCUCAAGAUAUCAAAAAUUACUGCGUCCCGUCUUAGCUUGUGCAUCCUGUAACAAAAUUGCAACCCUUACCAGCCAGAGAUAGCUGAGUUCUCCAAGUUCUCUAACUUGUCCGAGUUCCUGCUGUGCACAGUCCCUGAAAAGUUUCAGGACCCCCACGAAGCUCUUUAGAAACUUCUGCCCCCCCCCCCCCCAGCUAUGCCUGGACAUUGCAGGAAUGGGCUGAAAGCGCCUCUGCCUGUUGACCGUUACACCAUCCAACUAAAAUCACCAUCUGUGGAAGAAAAAUAAUAGAUCCCUUCAGAAAGUGAGGCUGGAAGACGGCGCCUUGGGAGGAGAGGCCCGUUGGGCAGAUAUUUAUUUGAGAGGUCCCAUUAGAGGGAACUGAGGCCUUCUAAAGUCAGAUUUUAAUCAAACAUAAGCCUUUAAGUUGUUUAUCUAAGGAAGAAAUUAUAUUCUCUGUUAGAAAACCGAGCAAAUUUUACAUGCAAUUAUUAUUUCAGAGUGAAUUUCUGCUCUAGAGGUCCCUCCUAAGGUUACCCCCAAGCAAUAAUCGCUAAAAAGCAGAGGACUCAAAGUUGUAACUACCAAAAUACCCAAAAGACUCCUAGAGACUAACAAAAUGCACUGUUGCCAAUUAUCCAGUUCAUACAAGAAUAAUCAUUACAAUUGAUUUUGAGGCCUGUAACUGUCAUAUUUUAUUACUGAGACUAGGAGAUGGGAAAGAAACUUUUAAAACACAAUUGUUAAUUAUAUAAAUGAGACAUGUUGAAUGAUGCUUCAUUAGGAGAACUUAUUAAAGUGCCAUUAUAUUUCAGAUAUUUUAAUUUUUUCUUUAAAAAGUCAUGGGUGAAUCCAAAUAUAACUAAUUCAUAAAUUUUUAAAUAAUGUCAGCUUCAAAAAAAAUUGGGGGUUGAUGUACAUCUAAAACUAUGGUUAUCUUGCUGUCAAUGGAUCAAAUUAUAUAAAAGGAUUUUAAAAUAUUUUAUGUGUUUAAAUGCUGAAAAGCUUUCUGUUCCUAUCUAAUGGAAACUUUGGGCCUAUGUUCAUGUUCAAAUGAUCAAGCAUAACCGUUUAAACAGUCUUUUAAAUAUUUAGGAAUUUCAAUGGUAUUUUCUGAGUGUAAAUACAAGAUAUGCUGCUUGAAGAAACUUGUAAAAUACAUCAAAAUGCAGAGAUAUACUAAGAAUCACCUCCAAGAUUCCUAUGCACAGCCCACAUUCUGACAAUUUUUUCCUGUCAUCUUUAUAUUUUCAGAACCCAAACAUAGCUUAAAAGGGAGUAAUGUCAUAUUUUAAAAAUGGAUGGAAAAAAAUCCAACAUGAAACGCAAGCACAAAGAAUCCAGAUUUUGGAGUUCCCAUCAUGGCGUGGCAGAAAUGAAUCUGACUAGGAACCGUGAGGUUGUGGGUUUGAUCCCUGGCCUCUGCUCAGUGGGUUAAGGAUCUGGCAUUGCCUGGAGCUGUGGUGUAGGUCGGAGAUGCAGCUCAGAUCCCCGCUGCUGUGGUUGUGGUACAGGCCAACGGCUACAGCUCAGAUU
rnacentral:lncRNA from 1 species